rnacentral:sRNA from 13 species
GCAGGCAACGACCCGAAGGGCGAAGCGCGCAGCGCUGAGUCAUCCUUCCCCCACCACCA